rnacentral:rRNA from 1 species
AUGGGGUUCAUCUCCUUCGUCAAGAGGGUGCUCUUCGCCUCCGUCUUCCUCCUCUCCGCCUACCAAGAUAAUGCUGACCGUAUGACAACUGGAGCUUAUUGGUUGUUGUGUUCUGCUGCUGAGUUGUUGCACAUUCAACUAGCAUCUGUAUUCGGGCAUUCCAGUGAUGGUGCUGACCCCAACGAUGUCGCCGCGCGACCUGGUGACAACAUCACAUGCAUGCUCGUCAACCUCACCCACUUCAUGAUUACAUACCACUUCUUCCACUGGAAGAGGGGAACUCCAUUCGCUGAUGAUCAGGGGAUGUAUAAUAGAUUGACUUGGUGGGAUCAAAUGGACAACAACAAGCAACUUAGGAAAGAACAACAUGGCAGGAUGUAUGCACAAAGAUUGAUUCUGGCUAGUCAGAAAUACUACACUUAUUCAUUAAUUAUGCAAAGAACACUUGUUAGUAACAUCUAG